rnacentral:rRNA from 1 species
UACGUAGGUGGCAAGCGUUGUCCGGAUUUAUUGGGUUUAAAGGGUGCGUAGGCGGCUUAUUAAGUCAGUGGUGAAAGACGGUAGCUUAACUAUCGAGGUGCCAUUGAUACUGAUGAGCUUGAGUACUGAUGAGGUAGGCGGAAUGGACGGUGUAGCGGUGAAAUGCAUAGAUAUCGUCCAGAACACCGAUAGCGAAGGCAGCUUACUAAGGAGUAACUGACGCUGAGGCACGAAAGUGUGGGGAUCAAACAGG